rnacentral:rRNA from 1 species
UACGUAGGCAGCGAGCGUUGUUCGGAGUUACUGGGCGUAAAGAGUGCGUAGGCGGUUUUCUAAGUUUGGUGUGAAAUCUCCCGGCUCAACUGGGAGGGUGCGCCGAAGACUGGAAGGCUUGAGUAUGGGAGAGGUAAGCGGAAUUCCUGGUGUAGCGGUGAAAUGCGUAGAUAUCCGGAGGAACACCGGUGGCGAAGGCGGCUUCCUGGACCGACACUGACGCUGAGGCGCGAAAGCUAGGGGAGCAAACGGG